UGUGUUUGUGUGUGUGUGUGUGUGUUCAAGUAAAUGCAGCCGGUGUUAUUUACAUGUAUUGGAAUCAUGAUUGGAAUGAAGGUGCAAUUGCCCGUUGUAUAAAACAACCGAGUUUCGAAAUGUUACGCGAAGUUUUUCGAAUGGGGCGAGUAAAGCUCGCUUGCUUGUAAUUUGGUGUUGCGUCGUGCAAGCAUUUUGAAACUGUUCAUCAUGACAGUGUAACGUACUUUCAGAUUCUUGCGUGGGUCUAACUAUGGUUUAAGAAAGAAAGGGAGGCAUUGGUGAAAUAGAACCAGCAGAUGAAGAUGGCACACGCACGGCCCUCCUCGCUACUUUCGCUAUUCGUUUCGAGCUCAGUUUUACCUCAGUUCCCUUCACGUCAGACUAUGUAAAAGUUGGUGAUCCCUAUUCCUGCGGUGGAACUCUGGAUGGGUUGCUGCGAACAAGACACUGUAAAGCGUGCCACUUUUCCAUAAUUCUGGUGGAACAUGACUGCAAACACAGCCGAGGAUGGUGGCAACUUGUUAGACUGGUACUAAUUGCUCAGGAACACGGUCUUCCGCGAGGGAUGCUAAAUGUGGUGUGUCGAGGUUUCGGCGCACGUUGAAGAAUCCUCAGGUUUGCUUGCAUCCGCUUGACUAGUUACACUCCACAUCGAGAGCCACCAAUGAAGUGUUGCUUCUGAAUGCUGUUGUAACCAGCCUUGGUUUAUCAGUUCGUAGCAUACCCGCCUGCUGAUCACUAGGUUGUGGGUUCUAUCCUGGCCGAGGACACAAGCAGCUUGGUGGCGGAAUGCAAGUUGCUUCGACAUGAGCUUCGAAGUUUAUCUGCGACAGUUGCUUCGAACUUGUGGGACAAUGCAGGCCCCCAUACCGUGCAUCUCACGGCACGCACCUUACAGGAACUUGGCUGAGAGUUGCUGCCACAUCCCCCUUACAGUCCAGAUCUCGCCCCCAGCUAUUUCCAUCUCUUCGAGCCACUGAAGGCAUUCCUUGGGGGCUGCCACUUCAGCUGCGACGACGAGGUCAAGAAUGCGGUCCGAUCAUGGCCGCUACACGCCGGUACAUUGCUGUUUCACGGAGCCACUGGUUGUAGGCAGACAAGUACAAACUGGACGGACAGCUUUUAUCAAGCAACCAGAAGCCCUCGGCUGAUGUAUGAUGCCGGUGACUUGGACCCUUCCGUUUCCUGAACAGCAGCACCCAAGACGCCCUUCUUGCACAUAGCCCUAAAUGUACAUCCUGUCAAGGCCGGCACUACAGGCAAGCUCAACACCUUUUCUUCGGAUUGACAGGUGGCAGCAUGCAAGCACUGGGGUCAAGUCUCUCUGAGUGACCAAAAGUGGUUUGAUGCUGAUCUGUCCAAAUCCCAGCUGUGUUGUUCUUCAGAAGAUCUCAGAGCUUUGAUGUGUGAUGGUUGGCUGAGACAAAGUUAGACACUGACUGAGCUUUCAAGGAAAGAACAUGCUGCAAAACACAAUGCAUCACAAGUCAUUGUCUAUGUUGCAACACGUGCUGGACCCGGUAAUCUUCGCAAGAAAUGGACACGGAAAGAGGGAGUAAUAUAAAAAGAUUGUGCCUGCUACUCGGCAUUGUCCUAGACAUAUAAGGGCUAACCCCUGAGAGGCAUAUUCUCUCCUGCCCUGGAGAUUACUAACAUUAUGCAAAGGAAACUGGUUAUGAACUUCCGUGCUUUAAAAUGUGUUUGUUUGUUCAUGCAUCUGCUAUUUCUGGUUAAACACAGUCAUUGUUUCAGUACAGUUGCCAACCGAUUUUUCGGGCUUCUAAAAGCCACAAAAUCGGUCCGGAUUAUCGAGCAGUCCAAAUUUUUGAGUCAAUGACACAAAUCACUUCCAAAAUGGUUUUGAUUGAAGAAAACUCAGAGGCACCAAAAAACUAUCAAUGCGCAUCUGCGUUGCUGCGCGUAUGCGAGAAAUGGCGUCGUGACGUAUUUCGGCUAAUGUCACGUUGUCACGGUAGGCAUUUCGGAGCGUAUCGAGGCCGUAAGUAUUGUCGCCGUUGAAGGAGUAGCAAUAGCACUCGCGUCAUCAUCGUCUGCGUCAUCGUCGGUGCCUUCUGCUGGCAGGUCGAGGACUUGUGAAACGAGUGGCCCACUAGUCAUCUCGGCACAAAAUUCUGCACAUUCAUCCACCUCGGCGUACAUUUCAAACGUUACACUUGAUACCUGAGCUUCGGAAGUCCUGUACCAAUGCCCGGCCUUCCGCCGAUCCGUCGCCGAUGGCGGUACCAUCGGUGCUCGUACUCUGUACUUGCGUACUGUCCUUGCAAAAUCGGGCGUGACAAAAACUGUUUGCUAUAAUACUCCCUUUCACUGUUUACCACGAUUCAGCAAGAAUAUGAAGCACAGUGACAAACGUGACAUUAUAGUAGUUAGUUACGUUUGCGUAGCACAGCCCAGCACAACAAGCGAGAGCAGGCAGGACCGGUAGAGUACCUUGAGAUCUUUUAUGAUAUUAUGGUCUUUGGGCUGCAGGACACUUGUUGUAUCAGAAGGCAAGAACUCUAAACGCAUCUUUUGGAGGUUCUGUACCGCACCAUGUGCUGCGCAGUUAUCGAUGAACAUGAUAACGCUCCUCUUCUCGUGCAUGAAGUUUCUGUUUGGUUUUCGGAUGUAAUCUUCAAUCGGAUACAAUCUUCUUUUGGUUGCUUCCGACAUUGUCGACGUCGAAGACGAUGUUGAUGGUACUGUCGUCACCGUUGAAGAAUCAGUCGCGGUCUCAGCGGGUGUAUGUGUCGCCGACAUGCUCGUGUCUUCAUCGCAUUCGUCAGUACCCACAAAGUCAAUCAAGACACCCUCAGAAUCAGUUGAAGGCACGGACAUCAUUUCGUAGUUUCAGGUUUCACUUCUUGUCUCCAACAAUAGCUAGUGGUGCGUGUGCAUAACCGCAUGGUGCGCACGUGUAAACUCCGCCUCCACGCGUGCUGAGGCAUGCUGUCGCCAAAGACGAAGGGAAAGAAGAAAAAAAAAGCGAGGCCAAUAUGUACGAAAAAUCAAGCCGUACCUGCGAAAAACGGUCCGAAUAUUCGGACGUCAAAAUACAUUGACUCAGUGGGACAUCUGAUUAAGCCACAACUUUUGUCCUAAAUAUUGGAAAGUCCAAAUUUUUGGAGUCGGAAAAAUCGAUCGGAGACUGUAAAAAACCAUUAUAGGUAUUGAAGCACACAGUGCAGUUACUGUACAAUUCGAUAUCCAUGUGUUUCAAAGAAUAUUCUUAGGUUCAAGUAUUCUAGUAUUCAUUGGUUAUUUGUGAAAUUGUUUUCUCCUGCCUACAUAACCAUAAACUUCAAACUUAUAAUGAACGAAUGCUAUUGUUUAUAUAAUUUUUGGCACUACAGUAAACCCCUGAUAACUUGAAGUCGUAAAAACCAGGGAAAAUUUUGAGAUAAGCGGAGUUUCAAGUUAAGCGAACAACAAAAAUUACGUUGCCACGAUGUUACCACAAUGCAAUAUGUUAUGAAACGUAAAAAAGAAAGCGUUCCCACGGUAAUAGGGCUCGUGAACAAUUCCGCAGCCAUUUAUUUUUCAACAUCAUCUUAGACAGAAUAACGCCGUAAUAGCAACUGCUUAGCAUUCGCGACUGGGAACAAGAAAGAAUCUUGAAUGCAACGCAUGAAACGCUCCUCCCAGCACGUCACUACCACAGCCGCUCUCGACGAUUUCUGUAUCACUCAGUUCACCACUACUGGAACAUCGCCGUCGUAAAGUGCAUAGUGCUCCAAGUUCAAAUCCUCUAAGUCACUCUCCCCACAACAUGCGAGGCGUAUCACAUCGUUGCACAGUUCAUCACAGUCACUGAACUAGUCUGCUGGCUCCGGUACGGCGGUGGAAGACCAGAAACCCGCAUGAACGAAACAGUUCACGAUAAUGGCUUGAUGAACUUGCUGCCAUGCCUUUGAUAAGUACCACCUUCCACUCCAAAGUCAGGGACUUCCACGUGCGUUGUACAGCCAUCACGCCGCGAAGAACGAAACGUGACGCUCGGACGAAUGCAGAGGAGGAGGAGUGACGUUGGGUGGAAAGGGGAGUGCUGUCUGCCUGCCACAGCUAGCGGCGUGUGAGUCACUAGGACUGAAAGGCUUUGACCUUGACCUAGCCUGGGGGACUGAAGAAUACACGUUAUCAGCUGUAGGUACGCUGACCUACCGGUGAUGGAAUUUCGAGAUAUCCGUACUCUGGCAAAAAAAAAGCUUAGACUUAAAGGGGCUCAAAUACAUAAGAAGCAUUGGGACAAGGAUCGGGACGCAAAAAACUUCGAGAUAACCGAUAUUUCGAGAUAAGCGAGUUCGAGUUAACGAGGGUUUACUGUACGUAGCAAUGAGUCAUUACCUCCUAAAAUACCUGCUGUGUUGCUAGAGUACACAAACGUGUUGAUGUUCUGCACAUGGGUUUUUAGAAAGACGUGAGACGCUGUUUUGCUGGUUUGUCCAUGUCUGUGUUUUGUAUGGUGUUCGUUAUCAUAGUGACUGUUUGUUGUUCUGUUGUUGGCGGCAAUAACUAUAAACACAGUGCAGCACUAAGCGCUGCUUCAGUUCACGCAUCAAUAUGAUCGCUGCAUCACUAUAAUCACUAAUUUGCCCGUCACUUUGACUAGCAACUUUGCUAGCCAUUCAGUUAAUGUCUCAUUCAGCCAUAGGAGUGUUCUUGCUGAUACGUUGACAGAUACAAUCCAGUGAAAUCUAUCACAAUAUGCCGUCGCGGCAUCAGGCGUUGAACAUCCAUUGGAUGGGUUACACACCAACAUAGCCUAGCAGUGUCAUAAAACCACCACAGCUUACGGUCAACUCCGCAAUCAUUAAGCUAAACAAGAAUUAGCCGGUGCAGACUACAAACGUGGACGACACAAACACGCAAGUUUGAGUUCAUCCGUGCCUGGCGCCUUUUGUUUUGUCACCACAUAAUGACCGACAACGCCAGUUAAGUUUGCGCCCGUCGACAUAUCAGCGUGCACUGAAACAACACAUGACUAGCGUAAAUGUUAUGUGACCAUAAAAUGUGCAGUCGCGCGCGGGAAACUGCCACCGGCGAACUGUGACCUACCCAGACAUAACGUUGCAAACACCCAACUAACUAACCUAAUAAUAAACUAACCGACAUGCUGCCCUGCUAAGACAAAUGGCUGCUAAAAUGUGGCUUUCGUUCGCUAACACGGCUUGGACACAUAUCGAAAACCCGUGAAUUUGAGUGGAUAAAUAGUGAUGUUAUGUUCUUAAUCACGGCAUAUCAUCUUAUGGAGCAGCAUUUCCCUGGCUUCCCUUGUUUCCAGAACAUGAAUCCAUCCCAUCCUAAAAUGGGCAGUUUGAGAACAUAAAUUUCCAGAACGGGGGUUUCACGGCCAGGAAUAUCGAGGUCCUUCCUUAUUCAUCACUUGACAGGGAGAAAGCAGGGGAAAAGAAAAAAAAAGAAAAGAAAACCGGGCAGCACUGACCCAGAUAGCAGCGCGGUCGCCACUUUCUACUUUUAUUGUUUUUUCCUUCUCCUCCUCGUUUAACCCUGAAGAGCGAGUCGAGCGGGGAUGCGUGCGGCGAUGUUCAAAUGUCUUUUUUUCUACGAAAAAUAUCGCAUACAGAAAAAAAAAUUUGUGUUAAUUCCUGCUUCCCAAACACGUUCGGAACAGAAAUUUUCUUAGAUGGCUUUCUGAGCUCCUUUAAACCCGUCAUUAAUUUUUUGAUGUCCUCAACUUAUCCAUAGAGUGGUGUAAGUUGAUGAAAAUAUGUAGCUUGUCAUUUUUGGCUCGUACAAAAUAAAUAUACGGUUUAUCACCACAGUAAUUUGUGGAUCAUUUCUCAAAGGUUUGCAGAUUCAGUUAACGAAUAAUUGUAAAAAUUUAGGCGAGUAUUCUGACUGCUAUUAACAAAAUAGUUCAACUGUCUUCAACAUAGACCACCUUACCCUAUUUGUGUUUCACAUCAUCCUUUUACAGCGACUACCACACAGCAUGUGCCAAGAAGCCUCUCAGCUUUUAGCAUCAGUUUGGAGCGAUGCUGAGAGAAGUGGAUUUCAGGUCAGAUUGUCCUCUUCAGUCAACAAUGUGGUAGUGAGUACCAAUGCAACUUGUGUCCCUACGCUGCAAGGUACAGGCGUGACAUCAUCCGACAUGAGAGGACACAUACGGGUGAAAAGCCAUUCCAGUGUAGCACCUGUGGGAGGAAGUUCCCAAGUGCAUUUAAUCUCAGCAGACACAUCCAGUGUCACACUGGAGAAAGGCAGCACAAGUGUAGCCACUGUUCAAAGUCCUUUUCGGAGAUGUUCUACUUGACCGCCCAUGUGGAGCUGCACCAUGGAAAUGUGAUCUACUCAGGCAUUGCUCGGAGGACAGGCCAAAGGGUACCAGUGCAACUUGUGUCCUUACACCGCAAGAUUCAACAGUCACCUGAUACAACAUCAGAUGACACAUACAGGAGAAAGACCCUACCUCUGUGACACCUGCGGAAAGGCAUUUGGCACUGUGUAUCGGCUCAACAGGCAUGCCCGCUCUCACACUGGAGAAAGACCAUAUAAAUGUCAUCACUGUUCAAAGACAUUCUUCCAGAAGUCUCACUGGGCCCAUCACAUGGAAACUCACGAAGGAACGACAUACAUGUGCUCAGUGUGCUGUAAGUUCUUCACGUCUCGGAGAUCGUUGCAUCGGCAUGAAGAGUGGCACAGACAUAAUGCUUGCUAGGUGUAAGCCUUGUUAUGGUAAAUGAGGCUGUGCUGUACAGUAGCACACAUGACAUGAUCUCUGCUUGAGUCAAAAGUACUUAUGUGUCUGUCUUUUGUGUUUUUUUUUUUUUCUACAAGAAUGUUUGCUAUGGAUUUUGUGUUAAGAACAAGGAGAUGCAAAUACAAGACUUGCUGUCUAAACAGUGUAGUACAUUCUUUGUUUUCGAACAUACUGUGGAAAUGGAUAAGAAAAAAAAAGUAGAGAGAGAAAGAGAGGUUUUCUCUUUUAUGAGGAAAUAUGACCUUGACAAAUGUUAAGAGUACAUACACGGAGUUUUCAAGAUCUUUUGUUGUUAUCACAGUGUCGAACCGCAAGAAAUACAGAUUUGGUUCAGGUUCACGUUGCUUUGAUUUCGUUCCGGUUCAGUUCUGGUUCGACCACGCCAAAAAUCGAACCGGUUCAACGGUUACAUUUUAUAUGUUCCAUAAAACUGCUUUUAUCAGGAAAUGCGUGGCUAACGGCUUACUGCUGUUCUCUGCAUUGACAUUCUUAGCGGUCAGGUACUCCCAGUAGCGAGAGAAAGGA